rfam:Ovis aries breed Texel chromosome 11, whole genome shotgun sequence.
UUCCUGAUGGUCCAGUGGUUAAGACUCUGUGCUUCCAUUGCAGGGGGCACAGGUUCCAUCCCUGGUUGGGGAA